GAUGAACGCUGGCGGCGUGCCUAAUACAUGCAAGUCGAGCGAACGGACGAGAAGCUUGCUUCUCUGAUGUUAGCGGCGGACGGGUGAGUAACACGUGGAUAACCUACCUAUAAGACUGGGAUAACUUCGGGAAACCGGAGCUAAUACCGGAUAAUAUUUUGAACCGCAUGGUUCAAAAGUGAAAGACGGUCUUGCUGUCACUUAUAGAUGGAUCCGCGCUGCAUUAGCUGGUUGGUAGGGUAACGGCUUACCAAGGCAACGAUGCAUAGCCGACCUGAGAGGGUGAUCGGCCACACUGGAACUGAGACACGGUCCAGACUCCUACGGGAGGCAGCAGUAGGGAAUCUUCCGCAAUGGGCGAAAGCCUGACGGAGCAACGCCGCGUGAGUGAUGAAGGUCUUCGGAUCGUAAAACUCUGUUAUUAGGGAAGAACAUAUGUGUAAGUAACUGUGCACAUCUUGACGGUACCUAAUCAGAAAGCCACGGCUAACUACGUG
rnacentral:rRNA from 1 species